rnacentral:lncRNA from 1 species
CCGCGGCCCCGGGUCCAUCUUCGGGGUUGGCUUUCAGGGGCCGCCGAGCUAUGUCCGGCUCCUGGGAGCGCGACCAGCAGGUUGAGGCGGCGCAGCGAGCCCUGGUAGAGGUGCUGGGGCCUUACGAGCCUCUGCUGAGCCGGGUUCAGGCAGCCCUGGUGUGGGAGCGGCCGGCCAGGAGCGCCCUGUGGUGCCUGGGGCUGAACGCGGCGUUCUGGUGAGAGACCUGGACCCUCGCUGACCCUACUAGGCGGGAAUUCAUCAGGUUGCUCUGGGGGGAUCUAUCUCUCACCUGCCCUGCCCUGUUUUCUUUCGCUGCCCUGACUGCUUCUUAAACUUGCCUUAUGAUGCUUCACUUUCCCCUACAUCACGUCCGCCUCCAGGCUUUGGCACCCCGGGUGCUCGCAGUGCCUUCCCGAUCUUCCCCGGUCUUCCCCGCUUUCCCCGCGCCCCCACUCUCGCCCCGGACACUCUCCACGAGCUUCUGGUAACAUCCCAAGUCGCUCGCAGUAAGCCAGAGUGCCUCUUGUUAGCUAGAGAAAGCGAUUUCACUUUGAGACUUAUUUCCUCCGUUUCUCU